CUAUAACUGUCUUUUGCAGAGUGGUGAUCUCUGAAGUUACAAUACAGAAUGUACAUGCUGAUAGGGAAAUCCAAAACACACACACGAAGUAGCAGCAACUGCAUGUCCCCAAAACCUCCUGGUACAUUUGAAGGAGAGAAAGACAUAUCUUCAGAAGACAGAAUGUGGUGUCCAAAGUUAGACCAGGUGGAAAUCCCAGCAGGACCUACUGCACCAGUCACUCUGACUUUUAUCAAGUAGUACAUCAACUGUCUGGUAAAA